GGGUUGGUGGUUAGUGGUAACAUAUUACCGCGGCGACAGUCUCUUCCGCGGUAAGACCCAGGUUCGAUUCCUGGCGAACCUA